rnacentral:lncRNA from 1 species
UGCAACAACACUUCUUUGUCCUCUUUUUCUGCAACCAACCAAAAAACCCCAUCAAAAUCUCAUCCACCUCCUUCAAUUUCUCAGCCACACCUAUAAGCCGUCUCCGACCCUUCAUUAACUCUCACCCCAAACUAAAUACACGGUCACCAUGAGCACAAACCGACCGGGACCACCCUUUGAGCACCACCGACCGAGCUCCACAAAUAAAAC